rnacentral:tRNA from 1 species
AAGACAAUGGCUUAAUGGUAAAGCACCCAACCAGCAAUUGGGGGAUCUGGGUUCAAGUCCCUACUUG